rnacentral:rRNA from 1 species
UACGUAGGGUGCAAGCGUUGUCCGGAAUUAUUGGGCGUAAAGAGCUCGUAGGCGGUUUGUCGCGUCUGCUGUGAAAUCUAGAGGCUCAACCUCUAGCGUGCAGUGGGUACGGGCAGACUGGAGUGGUGUAGGGGGAGACUGGAAUUCCUGGUGUAAGCGGUGGAAUGCGCAGAUAUCAGGAGGAACACCGAUGGCGAAGGCAGGCUCGUCUGGGCACUUACUGGACGCUGAGGAGCGAAAGCAUGGGGAGCGAACAGG